rnacentral:rRNA from 1 species
GAUGAACGCUGGCGGUGUGCCUAAUACAUGCAAGUCGAGCGAACAGACGAUGAGCUUGUUCCUUUGCCGUUAGCGGCUGACGGGCGAGUAACACAUGCAUAACCUACUUCUAUUACUGGGAUUACUUCGGGAAACCGGUGCUACUACCGGAUAAUACGUUCUACCGCAUGAUUCAAUAGUUAUAGACGGUUUUCGUGUCACUUAUAGACGGUUUCGGGCCGCAUUAUCUAGUUGGUAAGGUAACGGCUUACCAAGGCGACGAUGCGUAGCUGAGCUGAGAGGAUGAUCAGCCACACUAGAACUGAGACACGGUCCAGACUCCUACGGGAGGCAGCAGUAGGGAAUAUUCCGCAAUGGGCGGAAGCCUGACGCAGCAACACCGCGUGAGUGAUGAAGGUCUUCGGAUCGUAAAGCUCUGUUAUUAGGGAAGAAAAAAUGUGGAUGUAAAUAUGCACGUUUUGACGGUACCGAAUGAGUAAGCCCCGGCUAACUACGUG